UACGAAGGAUGCGAGCGUUAUCCGGAUUUAUUGGGUUUAAAGGGUGCGCAGGCGGCACGGCAAGCCGGCGGUCAAAUCGCGGGGCUCAACCCCGCCCAGCCGUCGGAACUGCCGGGCUAGAGUGGGCGAGAAGUGCGCGGAAUGCGUGGUGUAGCGGUGAAAUGCAUAGAUAUCACGCAGAACUCCGAUUGCGAAGGCAGCGCACCGGCGCCCUACUGACGCUCAGGCACGAAAGCGUGGGUAUCGAACAGG
rnacentral:rRNA from 1 species